GACGAACGCUGGCGGCGUGCUUAACACAUGCAAGUCGAACGGUAAGGCCCUUCGGGGUACACGAGUGGCGAACGGGUGAGUAACACGUGGGUGAUCUGCCCUGCACUUCGGGAUAAGCCUGGGAAACUGGGUCUAAUACCGGAUAGGACUCCUGGCUUCAUGGUUGGGGGUGGAAAGCUUUUGCGGUGUGGGAUGGGCCCGCGGCCUAUCAGCUUGUUGGUGGGGUAAUGGCCUACCAAGGCGACGACGGGUAGCCGGCCUGAGAGGGUGACCGGUCGCACUGGGACUGAGAUAGGGCCCAGACUCCGACGGGAGGCAGCGGUGGGGAAGAUUGCACAAUGGGCGCAAGCCUGAUGCAGCGACGCCGCGUGAGGGAUGACGGCCUUCGGGUUGUAAACCUCUUUCAGCUAUGACGAAGCGCAAGUGACGGUAGUAGCAGAAGAAGGACCGGCCAACUACGUGCCAGCCGCCGCGGUAA
rnacentral:rRNA from 1 species